UCCCAGGUGUAUCCCAGGUGUGUCCCAGGUGUGUCCCAGGUGUGCCCCACAUUGCCCAGGUGUGCCCAGGUGUAUCCCAGGUGUAUCCCAGGUGUAUCCCAGGUGUAUCCCAGGUGUGUCCCAGGUGUGCCCCACAUUGCCCAGGUGUGCCCAGGUGUAUCCCAGGUGUAUCACAGGUGUGUCCCAGGUGUGCCCAGGUGCGCCCAGGUGUGCCCAGGUGUAUCACAGACAUACCCAGGUGCGCCCAGGUGCAUCAUAGAUGUGCCCAGCUGUGCCCAGGUGUGCCCAGGUGUGCCCAGGUGUGUCCCCCAGCCCUUUUCACACCCCAAGCUCUGCUCCCCUGCCCCUCAGGUGUAUCCUGGGUAUAUCACAGACAUACCCAGGUAUGCCCAGGUGUAUCACAGACAUACCCAGGUGUAUCCCAGGUGCGCCCAGGUGUAUCCCAGACAUACCCAGGUGUGCCCAGGUGUAUCACAGACAUACCCAGGUAUGCCCAGGUGUAUCACAGACAUACCCAGGUGUAUCCCAGGUGUGCCCAGGUGUAUCACAGACAUACCCAGGUGUGCCCAAGUGUAUCCCAGGUGUGCCCAGGCGUGCCCAGGUGUAUCACAGACAUACCCAGGUGUAUCCCAGGUGCGCCCAGGUGCGCCCAGGCGCCCCUAGCAGGGCGAGGUGGACAGGUGGGGGUGCGGGGCGGGUCUCUGGGGGUACUUGAUGGCGGGCGGGUAGUUCUGGGUCAUCUGGAUGGAGACGUCGGACGAGGCGUCGGAGGCGCUGCGGGCGCGCGGCCACGCCCGCGGCUGCAGGAACUGCGCCGACAGCCCCGAGCAGGUGCUGAGGCGCGGGCGCAGCAGCUGCGGCGGCGCCCGGCACAGCUCCUCCUCGGCGUAGCGCUUGGUGAACAGGUACACCGACAUCACACCUGCGCCCUGAAACAGAGAGAGAGACGGGUGAGUGACACGCCUGUCACACCUGAGUGACACCUGUGACACACCUGAGUGACAGCUGUG
rnacentral:lncRNA from 1 species